CUAUGUCCUAUCAGCUGGUUGGUGAGGUAAUGGCUCACCAAGGCUAUGACGGGUAUCUGGUUUGAGAGGAUGAUCAGACACACUGGAACUGAGACACGGUCCAGACUCCUACGGGAGGCAGCAGUGAGGAAUAUUGCACAAUGGAGGAAACUCUGAUGCAGCAACGCCGCGUGGAGGAUGACGCAUUUCGGUGUGUAAACUCCUUUUAAGAGGGAAGAUAAUGACGGUACCUCUUGAAUAAGCACCGGCUAACUCCGUGCCAGCAGCCGCGGUAAUACGGAGGGUGCAAGCGUUACUCGGAAUCACUGGGCGUAAAGGGUGCGUAGGCUGACUUUUAAGUCAGGCGUGAAAUCCAAUGGCUUAACCAUUGAACUGCGCUUGAAACUGGGAGUCUAGAGUUCAGAAGGGGCAGAUGGAAUUAGUGGUGUAGGGGUAAAAUCCGUAGAUAUCACUAGGAAUAUCAAAAGCGAAGGCGAUCUGCUGGGAUGAUACUGACGCUGAGGCACGAAAGCGUGGGGAGCAAACAGGAUUAGAUACCCUGGUAGUCCACGCCCUAAACGAUGAAUGCUAGUCGUCGGGGAGCUCGUCUCUUCGGUGAUGCACUUAACAGAUUAAGCAUUCCGCCUGGGGAGUACGGUCGCAAGAUUAAAACUCAAAGGAAUAGACGGGGACCCGCACAAGUGGUGGAGCAUGUGGUUUAAUUCGAAGAUACACGAAGAACCUUACCUGGCCUUGACAUGGUAGGAACCCUUAAGAGAUUAGGGGGUGCUAGCUUGCUAGAACCUACACACAGGUGCUGCACGGCUGUCGUCAGCUCGUGUCGUGAGAUGUUGGGUUAAGUCCCGCAACGAGCGCAACCCUCGUCCUUAGUUGCUAACAGUUCGGCUGAGCACUCUAAGGAGACUGCCUUCGCAAGGAGGAGGAAGGUGAGGACGACGUCAAGUCAUCAUGGCCCUUACGGCCAGGGCUACACACGUGCUACAAUGGGGCGUACAAAGAGCUGCAAUACCGCGAGGUGGAGCCAAUCUCUUAAAGCGUCUCUCAGUUCGGAUUGUUCUCUGCAACUCGAGAACAUGAAGCUGGAAUCACUAGUAAUCGUAGAUCAGCUAUGCUACGGUGAAUACGUUCCCGGGUCUUGUACUCACCGCCCGUCACACCAUGGGAGUUGAUUUCACCCGAAAUCGGGAUGCCAAACUGGCUACCGCUUACGGUGGAAUUAGCGACUGGGG
rnacentral:rRNA from 2 species